UAUCCACUCUUAAACAGUAGCUUAUCUUGUGCAACAUCUUUAGGAGUAAAAAAAGUUACCUUAAGGUUUAUCCAGUCUGAAGUGUAAAUUACCAGCAUAAUUAUUUUAAACAUAGUUUAACACCUGCUGCUGUUUAGCUUAGCAGCUAGCUAUUGCUCUCUAGCUUGCUAUUGCCCUGUAAUGCCCCACAUGUUACUCAAAAUAUGUAUCUUAUUUUUUUUAAUGGGCGUCACUAUUGGCCAGUCCUGAAUAUCACCUUUGAAAAGCCAUGUUUGCCGAUAUUGUGAGAAAAGGUUCACCUCUGUUUUUCAACUUGACAGAUGGUUACCCCCUGUGCGAGUGGAAGAUGUGACUUUGAAGACAGUCAUUGUAAAAGGUGCAAAAGGCUUGUCUAAGAUAAGCUGGCAGUCUACACCGCAUGGCCUGCGUUGCUGACAUUGAGUGAAGUUAAUGCAGAGUUCCUGUGCCUGACAGAUACUUGAGGAAGCAUCUUGGAGGUUCUCAAGGAGAAGGGAGGUGUUGCCAGAAGGAAGGUAGGAUAACUCAUGGCUCCAACAGCUAAUGGAAACAUUGUGUUUGAGUUGCAAACAAUCUAAUGAAGUUGGGUAUUAGGUAUUAGAAGGUCAGACAUUAGGUGUGGGAGACGCAUGGCCCACCUCUAGGUUCACUGACUCUGAAUUUUGAACAGUUCUGAUUAUGAUGUUCACAAACGAUCUGCACCCCAAUAAAGAGAGCAUGCGAUAAGUGGCACCUGCAUAUCACUGACAAGCACACUAUUAAAUGCCCCCUAUUAGUGGCCAUGGUUGUCAUUCACUAGACAUCAGCAUUUUUACAUUUAGUGCCAUUAAAGCUACAUAAAAAGUGUGUGCACAGUGUUAAGCUUUCUGCAUUUUCUUUUUCCACCAUCAGGACUAGAGUGGCGAAGUGAUCCAAAGGCAGACUGCACAUCU